rnacentral:rRNA from 1 species
GACGAACCGUGCGAACGUUGUUCGGAUUCACUGGGCUUAAAGGGCGCGUAGGCGGUCGACCAAGUCUGGGGUGAAAUCUUUCGGCUCAACCGGAAAAGUGCCCCCGAUACUGGCCGGCUAGAGGGAGAUAGGGGCAUGCGGAACUUCCGGUGGAGCGGUGAAAUGCGUAGAUAUCGGAAGGAACGCCGGUGGCGAAAGCGGCGUGCUGGAUCUCCUCUGACGCUGAGGCGCGAAAGCCAGGGGAGCAAACGGG